rnacentral:rRNA from 1 species
AACGAACGCUGGCGGCGUGCCUAACACAUGCAAGUCGAACGGAAACGCCCUGAGUUUGUGCUCUUCUGGGGUGUCGAACGCGGGCGUGUCACGAGUACAUCGUGCUCUUCAUUUUGGGGGAGCUUCAGGUAACUGGAGCUAAUAUAAGAUAGGAGAUCCUGCUGCAUGGUGGGGGUUGGAUAUUUUCGGCGGGUGGGGAUGGACUCGCGGCUUAUCGUGUUGUUGGUGGGGUAGUGGCUUACCCAGGCUUUGACGGGUAGCCCGCCUGGGAGGGUGACCGGGCACAUUGGGACUGAGAGACGGCCCAGACGGCUACGGGAGGCAGUAGUGGGGAAUAUUGCACAAUGGGCGGAAGCCUGAUGCAGCAACGUCGCGUGCGGGAUGACGGCCUUCGGGUUGUAAACCGCUUUCGCCUGUGACGAAGCGUGAGUGACGGUAAUGGGUAAAGAAGCACCGGCUAACUACGUG